rnacentral:rRNA from 1 species
UACGAGGGGGGCGAGCGUUGUUCGGAAUUAUUGGGCGUAAAGGGUGCGUAGGCGGUUUGGUAAGUCUUGUGUGAAAUCUACAGGCUCAACUUGUAGUCUGCACGAGAAACUGCCGGGCUUGAGUAUGGGAGAGGUGAGUGGAAUUCCUGGUGUAGCGGUGAAAUGCGUAGAGAUGUGGAGGAAUACCGAUGGCGAAGGCAGCCCCCUGGGCCAAUACUGACGCUCAUGCACGAAAGCGUGGGGAGCAAACAGG